rnacentral:rRNA from 1 species
GGUGGAUGCCUUGGCAGUCAGAGGCGAUGAAAGACGUGGUAGCCUGCGAAAAGCUUCGGGGAGUCGGCAAACAGACUUUGAUCCGGAGAUGUCUGAAUGGGGGAACCCAGCCAUCAUAAGAUGGUUAUCUUGUACUGAAUACAUAGGUGCAAGAGGCGAACCAGGGGAACUGAAACAUCUAAGUACCCGAAGGAAAAGAAAUCAACCGAGAUUCCCUCAGUAGCGGCGAGCGAACGGGGACCAGCCGAGCCAUGAUUGUGGUUAGAAUGCGUUGGAAUGCGCAACCAGAGUGGGUGAUAGUCCCGUAUAAGAAGCAUGAUUGGACGUAUUAAGUAGGGCGGGACACGUGAAAUCCUGUCUGAAGAUCGGAG